UUCUACGACCAUGCCACCCCGAACAAGCCCGAUCCCGUCUGAUCUCAGAAGCUAAGCAGGGUCGGGCCUGGUUAGGACUUGGAUGGGAGACCACCUAGGAAGACCAGGUGCUGUAGGCC
rnacentral:rRNA from 1 species